GGUCGCGUGGCCUAAUGGCAAGGCGCGGCGUUCCGGUUGCCGAGAUUCCAGGUUCGAGUCCUGGCGCGAUCG
rfam:Claviceps purpurea 20.1, WGS project CAGA01000000 data, contig: scaffold00008